AAUCAACGCUGGCGGCGUGCCUCAGACAUGCAAGUCGAACGAUUAAGACUUCCUUCGGGAAGUGCAUAAAGUGGCGCACGGGUGAGUAACACGUAAGUAAUCUACCCUCGAGUGGGGAAUAACGUUCGGAAACGGACGCUAAUACCGCAUAACGCAGCGGCACCGCAAGGUGACAGUUGUUAAAGGAGCAAUCCGCUUGAGGAGGAGCUUGCGGCAGAUUAGCUAGUUGGUAAGGUAAUGGCUUACCAAGGCUACGAUCUGUAACCGGUCUUAGAGGACGGUCGGUCACACUGACACUGAAUAACGGGUCAGACUCCUACGGGAGGCAGCAGUCGGGAAUUUUGGGCAAUGGGCGAAAGCCUGACCCAGCAACGCCGCGUGAAGGAUGAAGUAUUUCGGUAUGUAAACUUCGAAAGAAUAGGAAGAAUUAAUGACGGUACUAUUUAUAAGGUCCGGCUAACUACGUG
rnacentral:rRNA from 1 species